GCCCAGCUAUCUCAGUUGGUAAAGCAUGACACUCUUAAUCUCAGGGUCGUGGGUUUGAGUCCCAUAUUGGGCG
rnacentral:tRNA from 1 species